ACCCACUCACACACAACUGCGCCGCCACCUUACUCCAAACCCUAUUUCCCAUUCCGAUCGCCCCUAUUCAUCUCAUCCCUGCUCUUCCAUCGACAUAAAUCUGAGCGAGGAUCCAAAAAGAAACCGUCGGUCUUUUCUUUCGCCCUGCAAAUUGCUCCCCAUCCCUUGUCCUCUUCCGGAAACUACAACGUGCGACGCCGUAGGAAUCGGCCUUCCGUAGCGUACACCUCACCGCAGAUCUGCGCCAACUGGGAUUCUGAAUCAACGUCUUCUGCCAACUCCUGGGUCAUCUCCUUCGUCCACCCCGGAGUCAGGUCGCAGCGCCUCUAACACCGAUCUCUCUUCCUCUAUCGAUCUGCGUCUUUUCUAUUUCCCCAACGUCUCUCCUCUCAUUAUCACUGCCGUUUAUUCAACUUUCUUGGCUUCUAGAUUUUUUUUUUCUCUCUCGUUCUUUCGUGGCACAUUUGGAUCCUGUUUUAUUACAGUAAUAUCUACAAUUCAUGAAGGCUUAGUUUUCUUGCACCGGCUCCCUGGGGUUGGCUCAAAAUCUUUUUCCCAGCCAACAGCAGCAAUUUUUUAUUUUUGGUGGUAUUCGUUCUGUAAAUUUGCAGUACUUUUUUUUUAAAUCUUCGAUACUGCUGUUGGAGACUGAAGUUGAAGGUUGAUUUUUGCAGGUAGCAAACUUUAUCGUGGAGUGAGAUGAUCGAGCUUGGCCGAAGGAAUGAGGAUAAGUCGUGCAUGAUUUGUCUUACUCAGAUGAAGAAAAAACAUUCCGGUCUUUUUACAUUUGGCAUGGGAGGAAUUGGAAAGAUUUUGCUGGGACAAAUACGAUGAGCUCAAGAUAGCACAUAGAAAUUCAUGUGCUAGUGAGGAAACUGAGUCAUCUGUCAGUAAUAAUUUGGAUUUAUGGUUGAAGGCUAGUGAAGGGCAGAAAGGGGGAAGGAUAUUGGGAAUGAGUUCUUUAAGCAAAAAUCAUAGAGUUUCUCGUAAAUUCUUUUCCACCCCAACAACAGUUACGACUCAGAUCAAUUCCUUGACUGAAGAAGUUUCACAUUUAAAGGGCAUAAUAUUAGAAAGAGAUGAAGAAAGAAGAGUUAGAGAUGCAGAAAUGAGAGCUAGUCAGGAAGAAAUGAGAGCUCUACGUCAACAACAAAAUUUAAUUAUGAAACAUCUUCAGUUAAGUUCCGCUCCUAAUUUUGGUGAUAUUGGCGAUGAUGGCGACGAUGGUGGCGAUGGAUCUUCUUGUAUGAAUUUUAUUUCUCAUAAUUAGUAUUUUUGAAUAUUAGUUAUUCUAUUGUAAAUAUUUCCUUUUUUUUUGUUAAUAUUACUAAUUUUUUUAAAAUAGGAUUGGUAAGACACAAUGAAAAUCAAUGUUGAAAAAGAAGAUGGAGAAGAUUUAGUCAUGUUUGGAAUUUUUUUGAAAUAUGGAUGGUUUAGAACUUCUUAUGAUGUUUGGAUUGUAUAGAUUUUAGAUCUUUUGUGAUGUUUGUAUUUUGAUGUAUUAAAUGUUUGGCUUGUAAGGGUAUUAGAUCAUGUUUGUAUUUUCAUGUAUCAUAUGUUUGGAUUGUAAGGAUAUUAGAUGAUGUUUACAUUUUAAUGUAUGGAAUGCUUGAAUUUUAUGGAUAUUUUGUGAUAUUUGGAUUUGA